CCUCCCCGUGCUGGAGCACCGGCCCCGCCGCCAUGUUGACUGCUGGCAGGGCAGGGGAGGAGAGUGAGUGGGUACUGUGCUGCUGCUGCUGCUGAGGAUGGUGACACCCGCGGAGGGGCAGAGGAUGGCUGUGUUAUGGGGUCGGACCUGUCGCUGUGCUGGCAGCAACAUCUCUCUUGAAGUCCCCGGUACUACCGGAAUGGAGUUGUCACUUCAGACAUUCUGGAGGCUUACAAUGGAGUGAGCACAAUUGGAUGGUGGAUGCAAACGUCCUUCUCUAGAUUUACCCCAAAUUCCCUGGAAGGACAUUCCAUUUGCCACUACCACCUGUCUACUCGCUGAUACCCGCUGCCAGUCGUCUUGUGAUCACGGAGCAAUCUGUGGUGCUGCAUGCCAGAAGCGCCUACCGUGAGCAACACAUCAAGGUUUGGAGACGGCAGCACGUAAGAGAUUAGAAGGGAGAUGCGGUCCAAGCUACACAGACACCUCUGCCGGCUGGUGCACACCGCCGCGAGGCACAUCCGUCCCGAGCAGCAGGGGAACUGUAACUGUAUAUGGCCGCACACCUGACCCCGGACACUCCCGCUGCCAAGUAAAAUUUGCAUCAGGGGGUUAAAAUGUUCUCAUUCACCUGCCUUUAGACAGCACACUCUGGAAAUAGCAAGUAUACGGACACAAUAGAACAGAGACAGGUGAGCCCACAAUCAAGUGGAGACUUUGUUGCAUUCUGGUUUAAUCACAGUGUAUCACUACAUCGGAUUACAAUUGAGAUAUGUAUUAUCUAUUUGAUGAAUCCAGCGAUAUAAAUAUGGACUUUUUUUUAGAUUUUUAUUUUAUUUUAUUAUUAUGUCUAGAGCAGACACGAUAACAGUCACGUGACGAUUUUUUAUAUAACAUUGUAUGCCGUUUACGUAUUAGUUGUUAUUAAAUGUCUGUGAAUAUAUAUUUUUUAAGAUACAUAAAAGGUAUACAAAUUAAUUGAUUAAAGUGUGUGUUCAGUCAUUUAUGCACCUGAGAGGUACAUAGCGCAUAAAGUCAAAAAUAAAUUGUGUUUAGUUCUAUAGUGCAGAUGGUUUUAUCCAGCUGUCACUAAUUAAAAGUUGAGUGGACACAGACAUAACUGGACUUAACUGCUGCUUGUUGUAUUUCUGGAUAGGUUAUAUACAUAUACAAUUUUUAAUAAAAUUGUGUAGACAUUAGCGCCUCAAUUAGUUGUGUGUGUAUAUAACCCACCAAGCACUUUUAUUUACCUACAGAUUUAUUUAUCUAGUAACAGUUCCUUUUAUAGUGCAGCAAAUUCCGUUGCACUUUACAAUUGGACACAAUGAUAAAACAAAACUGGGUAAUAAACAAACAGUCAUAGAGUUAGGAAGGCCCUGCUCACAAGCUUACAAUCUAUAGGGAAAUAGUGCCUUUCCUUGUGUAUCAAUGCCUAUCUAUUGCAUAUUUGUCCACUGAAUUGCAAAGGUUCUAGGUGGGUUACAUGAUAUCACAUCACAAAAAAUGAUGAACUAUGGUCAGAAAGAAAGGAAAGUGAGGAAAGAGAAAAUAUGUGGAGGAUAUGUGCAGACUGUACAGUGGGGAUAUAAUCGGAUAGGAAAGCUUGUGAAGGUUGAGUGAGCGGUUCUGAAACAUGAUAAGCUAGCCUGAAGAGGUGAGUUUUCAGGAAACGUUUGGAGACUAGGGGAGAGUCUUAUUGUACGUGGUAGGGCGUUCCACAGAGUGGGUGCAGCCCGAAGAAAGUCCUGCAAUAGUACAUGAGAGCAACUAUUGAGUGUAGAUGAGAGACGUAGAUCUUGUGAAGAGCGGAGAGGUCGGGUUGGGAGAUAUUUUGAGAUGAGCGAAGAGAUGUACAUUGGUGUAGUAUGGUUAAUGGCCUUAUGUGUGAGUAAAAGUAUUUUAAAUUGAAUACUGAAGAAUACCGGUAACCAAUGGAGAGACUGACAGAGCGGAUCUGCAAGAUUGUAAGCUUGCGUGCAGUGUCCUCUUACCGCUCUGUUAAUACCAAGUAUUUUAUUCUUACUGUGUUUGUUCCAAAUUGUAAAGCACUGAUGAAUAUGCUUGCACUAUAUUAAUAAAUGUCAGUAAUACAAUAUAUAAAUAUCGCUGCAUUAGAGCAAUGAUGGUUAAUUAAAGUGUCUCUUUUUUCAGUUACAAAGCUCCAUUUUGUUUUUGGCUAUUUUUUGUUGUUGUUUUCUUUAAUCUAUGCGGAACUAUUAUCUUUCUAUUUAACUUUCCAAUAUGUUAUCAAAGUAUGCGAUAUUUAAAAUAGGAUUUGUAUAUUUAGUUUUAUGGAAAUAUGAAAUGUGUAUUUAUCUCAUUUUAAAGUAAAUAAACUGGUAUAAUUAUGUGGGUUCUUGGCAGUAGCCAACUCUGUUCUCUGUACUUCCUCAAAACAAUUUUUGUACCCUCUUUCAGAACUCCUUAUGUUGACUAUCCAUGAUGAUACAAUGGGUCAUUUUCUAUUCUGUAGGCCUCAUUAGCAAAGCGCACUGGAUUCUAGAAGUUCUGUGCUACUCUGGGGAGAUGGAUGUCAAGCAAAUUAAAAACUUUACCUAGCUGUACACCAAUCACAUAAAAUCCAGCCUUUUAUAACUUUAGAUCUAUCCCAAUCAUUAAAUUAAACUUUAUUUAUUUUGUCUCCUAAAAGGUAUGUGCUAAAUUAAUCACAAGGCAUAUGUGUAUCUAUAAUGGGUGCAGGAUGUGUAGUACACAUGGGUCAAGGAGGGUCCACACUGUAAUCAACUUACCUUUUGGCUGCUGGUGCUCUCUCCACAGAUAUAGGGGUGUAUUCAAUAGAUGUCGAACCUUUCUGACGGAAAGGAUCCGACAUCUGAGUAUUUAAUGAGCGCCCAAAACCGACAGGAUUGGCCAUUCAUGACCAUGCCAAAACUACUUUUUUUUUAAAGUCGGAUUGACAUUGUCGGAGCCGGGGCCAAAACCUGUCGGAUUUGUCAGCGGAAUCUAACAAAACACGUGGAUCCGCAGCUAAUCUGCCGAUCCACAUGCUUUCCGACAAGUCGGAAUUGCCGAUUUGUUGGAAAGGAUUGAAAAAGUCGGAACCCCUUCUGACCAAAAAAAGGUCGGAAACUGCCGUCUUUCUGACAAGACAACAGUUUCCGAUUGCAGUUGAAUAACCCCCAUGGUGUUGUAGACACAUCUCUGAAGAAAUGUGAGUGAAUUUGGCACAGUGCCAGAGACUUAAGUGCCGGAGCGAUCCUUCCUGAGGCUCCAUGUCUGAUCAUGACAGAGGUUGCACCCAUGGCCCCAUCCUCUGAUAAAAUACUGCUGGCAUGAGAGGAUAUUGUGAUUUUCAUUACCACUUGUUAAACUUUUAAGUUUUAUGCUAAAUUGGACAAAGUCUGCCUAGAAAUACACUUCUCUGCCGAAUUUCACAUGGAAGAUGCAAAAUGUCUCCCAUUAAGGACAGCUAGCUCAGAAGACAAACUUCAGUUCCCUAUACAGAGUAGAAAUGCUUCUUCUCCACCCCCUUGUCUCAUUUCAAUAGUAUUUUCUGCACAGCUAGAAGCUCAGGUGAAAGUACUCCAUACUCUGCAAGGUAUGCCCUCACUCUAUUCAACUCCUCCCAAUGGCCAGUGCAAAUGUCUUGUUGCUAUACAAACCUAUGGGCUUUGCCAUGAAAGCCAGGAGCAAUUUAUCAAAUCCCCCAACAGAGAUUUUGCUCAACGGUUCGGCUACUUUACCUUUUGUAAUUGAGGCUUUUCAUCAGUUUAUGUCAUUUCAUCAUCUUCCCUGGUUACUAUUCAAGAAAACCAUUGGUGUCAAGCACUUAUUUUGAAGCAAAGUAGUCUCGUUUCAUUGAUGGACACAAGGAUGUUGGAACGUCGGCGAUCGUUGAGGCGUCCUUUUAUUCUAUAGCUAAGUUUAUCAUUUCACUGUUUAUCUGCAUAGCCUUAAAGAAUUUUCUCACGCUUCCUGUUUAUCUGGUUUAGCAGCUGCAGAUGAUAUUUUUGAAAGCUGUCGUGAUGUUUCUUUAACUGACAGAAAUUCAUAGAAUUUUCCUGUGGAGAGGCAGUGGCACUAGAGGGCAAAUUAUGAUGGGGCAUGGUAGUGUACUGUCCUGACUUAAGCAUAACAAUGUCCUAUCAACUAAACACUUCUCGGAUAAGGGAAUAACUCUGUAGCCUUGCCUUGAAUUCCAUUUACUUACAUAAUUUUUCAUUGCUGAAGACUCUUCGCAAAUGUGACAAAUUGAUAGUGAAUAUUUAAGAUUUUGUUACCAUUUUUAAAUUGUUUGUGUGGUAUUGAACCAGGUAAGGAAUGUCUACUAGUAGAACAAACACUUUGUACCUGCAAUUUAAUUUGUAAUGUAAUUGUAUGUUGAUUGUAAUCCAUU